AUUCAUGAGUGGUUCAUUUACUUAUUUCAGGUGUGUGAAGAUAGUCUUUAACUGGCAAAGGGACACAACAGAUGCUUUUCAAUUCCAUUAAACUCUAUGCAUUAAAUCCUGCUUCUCAACGUGGUGCCAAUGGCCUGGAACUGAAAGUAAACCAUUUUGUUGAAAUGAAACGUGUUUAGCUCUUGAAUCCCUUCCUUGUAAGAUUUCUCCUAUUCAGAGGAAACUGGGACACCAUUUAGAUAAGCAGCCAAACACUCACAAUGUUGUCUCAGCA
rnacentral:lncRNA from 1 species